ensembl:snoRNA
ACUCAUUGAAAAUCACCCUGGGCUUUGGCUGUGGCCGGGUGAGAUUUGGGGCAUAGAUCUUCCAGGGGCCUCACCUCACCUCCCCGGGGCCGAGAUGUAGCAGGGUGAACCCCAACAGCCCCAGCCAUG